AUGUAAGGAAGAAUGUAUUUGUGAGAACUGUCAUAGCAUAACCGGAUUCUGUCCUCAACAGAUAGCAUCAAGGAUUUCUUUUGCCUCUAUAGCUAUUUUUCUAGCGGCUGGAAUUUUGUUUGUUACUGCAUUAGUGGUUUGUCUAUUUGUGAAGAGAUCUUCAAGGAAAAUGUCGUCGAAUUUAGAUAAUAAUUAUAUGCCCGAAAGUUCCACCCCUGUCGAUCUAGCGGUUCAAAGCUACGCAAGAGUUGAGGAAAACGUGUACCACGAA